rnacentral:rRNA from 1 species
UACAGAGGUCCCAAGCGUUGUCCGGAAUCAUUGGGCGUAAAGCGCGUGUAGGCGGCUUAGUAAGUCUACUGUGAAAGUCCAGGGCUCAACCCUGGAAUGUCGGUGGAUACUGCUGAGCUGGAGUACGGGAGGGGCGAGUGGAAUUCCUGGUGUAGCGGUGGAAUGGCGCAGGAUAGUCAGGAGGAACACCGAUGGCGAAGGCAGGUCUCUGGGCAUUAACUGACGCUGAGGAGCGAAAGCAUGGGGAGCGAACAGGA